UUGUCUGGUACAUUUUCGAUCAAAUCGAUCAAAAUCUGGUACAUUUUUACCACAGAAUAGUACAAUUUUGGAAAAGUCUCUGGCAACGCUGUUGUCAAUGUCAUAUUUCAUAUUGUCAAUGUGUUUUGUUUUCGUCGUUUUUUUUAUUUUUCCCGUGGAAAAAAUAUAAUUUAAAUAGUUUUUGCUGGUCCUUUAUCAAAUUGUAAAAUAAAUAGUAGUGUAACAUUUUGUCAUGGCAAAGCAUCAUCCUGAUCUAAUUUUCUGCAGAAAACAACCUGGUGUAGCUAUAGGGCGUUUAUGUGAAAAAUGUGACGGUAAAUGUGUAAUUUGUGAUUCUUAUGUUAGGCCAUGUACUCUUGUGAGAAUAUGUGACGAAUGCAAUUAUGGAUCAUAUCAAGGUAGAUGUGUAAUCUGUGGCGGUCCUGGUGUCUCAGAUGCAUAUUACUGUAAAGAAUGCACCAUUCAAGAAAAAGAUAGAGACGGUUGUCCCAAAAUCGUUAAUCUAGGAAGUUCAAAGACUGAUCUAUUUUAUGAACGGAAAAAGUAUGGUUUUAAAAGACGCUAGACACAAUUCAUCUAUUAAGUUGAAUUAUUCAAGUAUAAUUAUGUGUUAUAUCAAUUGUUCAUACUUUUUUGUAACGUCUUAAGAAAUUAAACACAGCUCUUAUAAUAAAAAUGUAUUAGGUAGUAAAACAAAAAUCACAAAAAUAACAUAAUCUUAAAAUUAAUAUGGAAACAAACUUUAGCUCAAAAUAAUGUAACAGUUUCAUGUAAAUAGUAAAAAUAUGUACAACCUAAAUAGAAAGUACUGAACUUACAAAAACA